CAGUUCCAAAUAUUCAUAUUCCUGAAGAAGAUAUGGUCCAAGAAGAUGAUACAGCUGAAGAUACACCAACACAAGAUACAAUUAAAGUUGCAAGAGGCAUAAAAAAGAAAAGGGGUCCAACAAAAGAGAAAAAACAUGCUAGAGACCCUGCAAACCGAAUUCAGAUUCAAUUUACUGAUUCUGGUGAACCAUAUGGACCCGGAUCAAUACACUUGUCAUAGUUUUUGGGCCCUCUUGUACGAAAGCAUGUACCUGUAACACUUGAUGAUUGGAGGAACCUUGGUGAUGAUCUGAAAGUUGUAUUAUGGGAAGAAGUUCAGAAAAUAAAUAUUGCAGACCCAUCUAGUGUGUCAAGGGUUAAAGCUUGGAUCAAAGCUCACACAAAAAAAGAUGGUACACCGGUGAAUUCAGCAGUUGGUGAAACAAUUAGUGUGAACAACUCAAAGAAAAAGUGAAACUUGUUAGAUAUUGUUGGCUCGGGAAAGAUAGUUGUUGAAGGACAUUGGUCUUCAAGUGAUCCGAACCAGGUUGUUCACUUUGUUCCUUUAGGUCCUAAUGCUAUGCGUGUUUGGGUUGAUAUCCCUAGGAUCCCUAGUGCAUCUCUUUGGAGAACGACAUCUGAGUUAGAAUGCAUUGAAGAUGUCGUUGGUACGACAAUAGCUUGGCCAUCAAAUAAAGUUGUUAUGCUUUGAAAGCUGUAGUACUAGUACUCAAUUCUGAAGAUGAUGAGUCUCCCAAGUCAUAUGUAAUGCAGCAAAGUUACUUUUUGUUGUUCUGUGUACUAUAGUUAAUUUCUUGUACUCCAUGUUGGAUUAUCCAAAGAUUAGUAUUUGUUUUUUGGCACAUUUGUGUUGACUCUUCUUGUAUGCUACAACUUGGUUAUGUAUCAGUUUGAACCUUUAAAUGAAAUAUUUGCUUUUAUAGUUAUCACAA